rnacentral:rRNA from 1 species
AGUGAACGCUGGCGGUAGGCCUAACACAUGCAAGUCGAACGGCAGCACAGUAAGAGCUUGCUCUUACGGGUGGCGAGUGGCGGACGGGUGAGGAAUACAUCGGAAUCUACUUUUUCGUGGGGGAUAACGUAGGGAAACUUACGCUAAUACCGCAUACGACCUACGGGUGAAAGCAGGGGAUCUUCGGACCUUGCGCGAUUGAAUGAGCCGAUGUCGGAUUAGCUAGUUGGCGGGGUAAAGGCCCACCAAGGCGACGAUCCGUAGCUGGUCUGAGAGGAUGAUCAGCCACACUGGAACUGAGACACGGUCCAGACUCCUAAGGGAGGCAGCAGUGGGGAAUAUUGGACAAUGGGCGCAAGCCUGAUCCAGCCAUACCGCGUGGGUGAAGAAGGCCUUCGGGUUGUAAAGCCCUUUUGUUGGGAAAGAAAAGCAGCAGGUUAAGACCCCGCUGUUCUGACGGUACCCAAAGAAUAAGCACCGGCUAACUUCGUG